rnacentral:rRNA from 1 species
ACAAGGUUUCCGUAGGUGAACCUGCGGAAGGAUCAUUACAGUAUUCUUUUUGCCAGCGCUUAAUUGCGCGGCGAAAAAACCUUACACACAGUGUUUUUUGUUAUUACAAGAACUUUUGCUUUGGUCUGGACUAGAAAUAGUUUGGGCCAGAGGUUUACUGAACUAAACUUCAAUAUUUAUAUUGAAUUGUUAUUUAUUUAAUUGUCAAUUUGUUGAUUAAAUUCAAAAAAUCUUCAAAACUUUCAACAACGGAUCUCUUGGUUCUCGCAUCGAUGAAGAACGCAGCGAAAUGCGAUAAGUAAUAUGAAUUGCAGAUUUUCGUGAAUCAUCGAAUCUUUGAACGCACAUUGCGCCCUCUGGUAUUCCAGAGGGCAUGCCUGUUUGAGCGUCAUUUCUCUCUCAAACCUUCGGGUUUGGUAUUGAGUGAUACUCUUAGUCGAACUAGGCGUUUGCUUGAAAUGUAUUGGCAUGAGUGGUACUGGAUAGUGCUAUAUGACUUUCAAUGUAUUAGGUUUAUCCAACUCGUUGAAUAGUUUAAUGGUAUAUUUCUCGGUAUUCUAGGCUCGGCCUUACAAUAUAACAAACAAGUUUGACCUCAAAUCAGGUAGGAUUACCCGCUGAACUUAAGCAUUA